rnacentral:rRNA from 1 species
CCUACGGGGGGCAGCAGUGAGGAAUAUUGGUCAAUGGACGAGAGUCUGAACCAGCCAAGUAGCGUGAAGGAUGACUGCCCUAUGGGUUGUAAACUUCUUUUAUAUGGGAAUAAAAUGGUCCACGUGUGGGAUGUUGUAUGUACCAUAUGAAUAAGGAUCGGCUAACUCCGUGCCAGCAGCCGCGGUAAUACGGAGGAUCCGAGCGGUAGCCGGAUUUAUUGGGUGUCAAGGGAGCGUAGGGGGCUUGGGAAGUCAGUUUGGAAAGUUUGCGGCUCAACCGUAACAUUGCAGUUGAAACUGGCAGUCUUGAGUACAGUAGCGGUGGGCGGAAUUCGUGGUGUAGCGGUGAAAUGCUUAGAUAUCACGAGGAACUCCGAUUGCGGAGGCCGCUCACUGGACUGCACCUGACACUGAGGCUCGCACGUGUGGGUAUCAAACAGGAUUAGAUACCCUAGUAGUC